GGUCAAGUGAAUAAGGGCAUACGGUGGAUGCCUUGGCAGAGACAGGCGAUGAAGGACGUGGAUACCUGCGAAAAGCCUCGGGGAGCUGGUAAACAAGCUUUGAUCCGGGGAUAUCCGAAUGGGGCAACCCAAUCCGAGUGAUCGGAUUAUUGCUGACUGAAUACAUAGGUCAGUAAAGCGAACGCGGUGAACUGAAACAUCUCAGUAGCUGCAGGAAAAGAAAUCAACCGAGAUUCCCGUAGUAGCGGCGAGCGAACCGGGACCAGCCUUCAUGAUUUAGCGUAAGACUUAGGAGAACGACCUGGGAAGGUCGGCCGUAGUGGGUGAUAGCCCCGUAUCCGAAAAGACUUUCGUGGAACUAAGCAUGAGCAAAGUAGGGCGGGACACGUGGAAUCCUGUCUGAAGAUGGGGGGACCAUCCUCCAAGGCUAAAUACUCGUCUCUGACCGAUAGUGAACCAGUACCGUGAGGGAAAGGCGAAAAGAACCGCGGAGAGCGGAGUGAAAUAGAUCCUGAAACCGUAUGCCUACAAGCAGUGGGAGCCCGUUUACGGGUGACUGCGUACCUUUUGUAUCAUGGGUCAGCGACUUACUUUCUGUGGCGAGCUUAACCGAAGAGGGGAGGCGUAGGGAAACCGAGUCUGAAUAGGGCGACAGUCGCAGGGAGUAGACCCGAAACCGGACGAUCUAUCCAUGGUCAGGAUGAAGGUGGGGUAAAACCUACUGGAGGUCCGAACCCACGCCCGUUGAAAAGGUCGGGGAGAAAGCUAUUGAGGUAGCGCGUCGCGUAUUACUGCCGGGGGUAGAGCACUGUUACGGCUAGGGGGCUGUCACGGCUUACCAACCCGUUGCAAACUCCGAAUACCGGCAAGUAGAGCGCGGCAGACAGACGGCGGGUGCUAACGUCCGUCGUCAAGAGGGAUGAAAACCCAGACCGCCAGCUAAGGUCCCCAAAUAUGGCUCAGUGGGAAACGAUGUGGGAAGGCCCAGACAGCUAGGAGGUUGGCUUAGAAGCAGCCAUCCUUUAAAGAAAGCGUAAUAGCUCACUAGUCGAGUCGGCCCGCGCGGAAGAUUUAACGGGGCUCAAGCCAUAUACCGAAGCUGCGGGUGUGUUCUGAUGAACACGCGGUAGGGGAGCGUUCGGUAAGCCGAUGAAGGUGUGUUGGAAAGCAUGCUGGAGGUAUCCGAAGUGCGAAUGCUGACAUGAGUAAGUCAAUCUGCGCAGGGUGAGUCGGCCCCUAAGGCGAGGCCGAGAGGCGUAGCUGAUGGGAAAUCGGUUAAUAUUCCGAUACUGUUACAAGAUGCGAUGGAGUGACGGAGAAAGGUAGCUCAGCCGGGUGUUGGACGUCCUGGUUUAAGCGUGUAGGGAGUCUUCUCAGGCAAAUCCGGGAAGGCAAUUCCAAGGCGUGAUGACGAUUCUCUACGGAGAAGAAGUGAGUGAACCUACGCUUCCAGGAAAAGCUUCUAAGCUCUAAUCUUGUGAUGACCGUACCCCAAACCG
rnacentral:rRNA from 1 species